CAGAAGUUGCUGAUGGAGAUCGGGGAGUUAAGAAGAAAGCUAGAAGUCACCAAGCAUCUUGGAAAUGAUGUUGACGCUUAAGUUAAGAUUUAAAGACAUGAAUCAUUCGGAAGCUAUGAAUCAAACUCUUAUGGUUAAACAAAGGCAGAGCAAUGAUGAACUACAGCCAGCUCGGGAAGGAUUAAUCACAGUAUGUCCUCGCACAUUCUAUAUUACUCUUGGUUCAUAGUGAUUGUCUUCCUUUCAAUAUGGUAUAUUUUUCAUUUAGUUUUCCUUUAGUUCCAACAGUAUGAAAAGUAUUACCCAGAGAUCUGUAAGAAGGUCCAUGCCUAACGCAAAAUACGAUUAUAUUGUAACCUCUAUGACAGUAAAGAGGUUGUUUGUAUUAUAUUCUUGAUCUAAAUCACAACAUCUGCCUGUUUAAAGAGCUUGAUGAUCAACAUUUUUCCAGGAGUCAUCUUCAUCUAUCUCAAGGAAUUAAUAAACCAAUGACUCAAUUCUAAUAAGAACUCCCAUUAUGGAAGUAUCUGACUCCAGGUUUGAAAUUUGUGGCAUCAUCCUGCAAAAGAACAACAAUUAGCAUUUCACAUCUCAAGAGAAAAAAGAUAUUGGUUCCCAUUGAUGGUAGAACGGUUUGGCUGAUGGACAGGGACGGCCGAAGGGUUCUGCUUAUAGUACGUUCUGGAUAUUAUUGAAUCUGGUUGGUGGUAUUCAUAACCACUUGAAUCGUAACAAGUAUCCUCUGUCGGAAUGACUGCUAGGUUGCAUUUUUUCUCGAGGAUGUCAUACCAAAAGACUCAGUUUUGCACAGCACGUUGAGCAUACUCUCUGUAGUAGGCCUUGUGGAACCUUUACAAGUUAUACAUUUUUAUUGCUGCUAUAACUGUUGUGUCUGUGGCGGCGUGGAAGCUUCCAGAAACAAAAGGAAAGAACUGGAGGAAAUUCAAGCAUACUUCAGAUAAAAAUAGUUUAAUGUAUAAAUUUCAUAUCUUAGAUAUAUAAAUUAGUUUUGCAGUAGCAAUAUUAUGGAAGCAUUUGAACAUAACACUCUUAGUCCAAGCAUCAAAUAAUUUUGCAUCACCCUAGGCUUAAUGUAAUAUGGACCUCGAGGUAUUGUAGUUUGUUUUAGAAACAUGAAGGAGUUUGAAUUUUCACGUUCGUAGGAAAUACUCCACACCUUUUUGGCUUGUUAUCGUGACUCCAAAUUUUCAUUGGCACCUACAUAGUAAACGUAUUUGCGAUUUUGUAUUGUCUAUUACAUGGAAAUUAAAAAUUUAUUAUAAAUUUUCUUGCAUAUUUAUUGUAUUUGCCACAAAUUUGUAAAUGUCCGGAUUUUAUGUAAAAUUUUUAGAAACAAAUUUGUAUGUCUAUCGCGCACAAUCCAACAGCUAG